rnacentral:hammerhead_ribozyme from 1 species
GCAUUGCUGAGGAGUCCCACAAUAGGACGAAACGGUCGUUCAGUCC